rnacentral:ribozyme from 1 species
AAACGGAGAAGACAAAAAAAAACGUAAGCAACUUGAAUAUCACACGAAUAAUAUUUUGUUAUUUCCUUCUUCUUCUUCUUCUACUACUACUUCUUAGUGUUUAGCUUCUUCUUGGCAAAACAGGCACAUAUUACUGCUGCUUUAAAAGA